rnacentral:misc_RNA from 1 species
GAUGAAGAACGCAGCGAAAUGCGAUAAGUAAUGUGAAUUGCAGAAUUCCGUGAAUCAUCGAAUCUUUGAACGCACAUUGCGCCCCCUGGUAUUCCGGGGGGCAUGCCUGUCCGAGCGUCAUUGCAACCUUCAAGCGCGGCUUGUGUGUUGGGUCUCGUCCCCCGUGGACGGGCCCGAAAGGCAGUGGCGGCAUCCCGACAUGGUGCCCGAGCGUAUGGGAAUCCUCUUCCGCUCGAAUCGGCCCAUGCGGCGCUGGUCGUAACCAAAUUUUUUACCGGUUGACCUCGGAUCAGGUAGGGAUACCCGCUGAACUUAAGCAUAUCAAUAAGCGGAGGA